CCUACGGGAGGCAGCAGUGAGGAAUAUUGGUCAAUGGCCGGAAGGCUGAACCAGCCAAGCCGCGUGAAGGACGAAGGUGCCAAGCAUUGUAAACUUCUUUUGUCAAGGGACAAAAUCAGGCUCGAGAGCCUGACCGAGGGUACUUGAAGAACAAGCAUCGGCUAACUCCGUGCCAGCAGCCGCGGUAAUACGGAGGAUGCGAGCGUUAUCCGGAUUUAUUUGGUUUAAAGGGUGCGUAGGCGGGCUGUUAAGUCAGCGGUAAAAGCCCGGGGCUCAACCCCGGCGAGCCGUUGAAACUGGCUGUCUGGAGAGGGCGAGAGGUAUGCGGAAUGCGCAGUGUAGCGGUGAAAUGCUUAGAUAUGGCGCAGAACUCCGAUGGCGAAGGCAGCAUACCGGCGGAGAUCUGACGCUGAGGCACGAAAGCGUGGGUAUCGAACAGGAUUAGAUACCCCAGUAGUC
rnacentral:rRNA from 1 species